AGCUCUGCUUCAGCUGUGGGGACACAGAAGGCAGGACUCAGGGAUGGACUCCACCAUGGCCUGGUCCCCUCUCCUGCUCACCCUCCUGGCUCACUGCACAGGGUCCUGGGCCCAGGCUGUGCUGACUCAGCCGCCCUCAGUGUCUGGGAACCCAGGACAGACCGUCACCAUCUCCUGCACUGGAAGCAGCACCAACAUUGGGCGUGGUAAUUAUGUAUACUGGUACCAACAGUUCCCAGGAAAACCUCCUAAAACCGUCAUCUACGAUACUAACAGUAGACCCUCGGGGAUCCCCGACCGCUUCUCUGGAUCCAGGUCUGGCAGUGUCGGCACCCUGACCAUCAGUGGGCUCCAGGCUGAGGACGAGGCCGACUAUUACUGCCUUUCCUAUGACAGUAGUAGCAGUGCUCCCACAGUGCUGCAGGGCCGUGGGGAAUGCCAGGUCCUCGAGCUGAGUCCAGGGGAGAUGAGCCCAGGGAUCCAGGUUGGGGCCGAAGAUUCUGGACCAUAUGGAGACCGUGGGAGGGACUGUGGGGAACUGUGUGGGCAGCAUCUGGGCUGA